rnacentral:rRNA from 1 species
GACGAACGCUGGCGGCGUGCUUAACACAUGCAAGUCGAACGGAAAGGCCCUGCUUUUGUGGGGUGCUCGAGUGGCGAACGGGUGAGUAACACGUGAGUAACCUGCCCUUGACUUUGGGAUAACUUCAGGAAACUGGGGCUAAUACCGGAUAGGAGCUCCUGCUGCAUGGUGGGGGUUGGAAAGUUUCGGCGGUUGGGGAUGGACUCGCGGCUUAUCAGCUUGUGGGUGGGGUAGUGGCUUACCAAGGCUUUGACGGGUAGCCGGCCUGAGAGGGUGACCGGCCACAUUGGGACUGAGAUACGGCCCAGACUCCUACGGGAGGCAGCAGUGGGGAAUAUUGCACGAUGGGCGGAAGCCGGAUGCAGCAACGCCGCGUGCUGGAGGACGGCCUUCGGGUUGUAAACAGCUUUCGCCUGUGACGAAGCGUGAGUGACGGUAAUGGGUAAAGAAGCACCGGCUAACUACGUG